GGCGAACGCUGGCGGCGUGCCUAAUACAUGCAAGUCGAGCGCAGGAAGCUGGCGGAACUCUUCGGAGGGAAGGCAGUGGAAUGAGCGGCGGACGGGUGAGUAACACGUAAGGAACCUGCCUCAAGGAUUGGGAUAACUCAGAGAAAUCGGAGCUAAUACCGGAUAGUUCAACGGACCGCAUGGUCCGCUGACGAAAGGCGCUACGGCGUCACCUUGAGAUGGCCUUGCGGUGCAUUAGCUAGUUGGUGGGGUAACGGCCCACCAAGGCGACGAUGCAUAGCCGACCUGAGAGGGUGAUCGGCCACACUGGGACUGAGACACGGCCCAGACUCCUACGGGAGGCAGCAGUAGGGAAUCUUCCACAAUGGACGAAAGUCUGAUGGAGCAACGCCGCGUGAGUGAUGAAGGUUUUCGGAUCGUAAAACUCUGUUGUAAGGGAAGAACACGUACGAGAGGAAAUGCUCGUACCUUGACGGUACCUUACGAGAAAGCCACGGCUAACUACGUGCCAGCAGCCGCGGUAA
rnacentral:rRNA from 1 species